UACGUAGGGUGCGAGCGUUACUCGGAAUUACUGGGCGUAAAGCGUGCGCAGGCGGUCCGUUGUGUCCGACGUGAAAGCCCCGGGCUUAACCUGGGAAUGGCAUGGGAAACUGGCGGGCUGGAGUGUGGCAGAGGGGGGUGGAAUUCCGCGUGUAGCAGUGAAAUGCGUAGAGAUGCGGAGGAACACCGAUGGCGAAGGCAGCCCCCUGGGCCAACACUGACGCUCAGGCACGAAAGCGUGGGGAGCAAACAGG
rnacentral:rRNA from 1 species